rnacentral:lncRNA from 1 species
AUUUUUUCCUACUUUAAGACCACGCAUCAUCUGAAAUUUCAUAUUACAAAUACAGUUUCGAAAACCUAAUCCACAAAAGAUUAGGCAGCAUGUGCUGGCGUACAGUUUCUAUAUAAAGCUAUAAGGAAUUUGGUUUAUAGAUCGACACAAAUUUUAGUAAAUAAUGAAUAUGAACCGGAAAACAAGACCUUGAUUAUGCGUCCAACUGUUUAGCUUUCCACGGUGAAUUAAAUUCCUAACGUUGAAAAACCGCAUAAAAUGCAGAAAAUGACCGAAUCUUGAUAAUCUUUUCAAAACUUUUUAUAUUUCCGAGGAAUAUGACUGAUCAAAUUAAGGACUUGUUUAAAUUUUUCUUGUUUCUUGUUCUUCAAAUUAAUGCAAAUUGGGAGGAAUCAAUGGAAGGACAUUUAAAAACUAUGUGCAUUUGAACAUCUCAAUUUAGAAAUCCAUAUAAAUCUUAAAGGAAAAAACUGAAAAAUAAAAUUAAGAAAAGUAUUGCCUGGCCCCGUUCUGUCUGCCUCUUCCAAAACUUUGAGUCGAGAAGGUAUCAAUAAUCAUAUUGAGAGAUUCCUAAUCAAAUAGUAAGCUUCGUCUUGAGAGAUAGCUAGAAAAUGAGCACUUGUGAGAAGAAACAAGAAAAACCCUAUGAUGUCCUCCAUUUGCAGCAGCACGCACAAGUUGAAGAAAAGAAAUGAAUGGCAGAACCUUAUUCGCUUGUGUUUCUUGUACUGUUUCUCACAAUAUUGGAUUCAUAAACAUACUCCACCAAACCCAAAUGUAUACUCGUAUAUAUAGACUAUAGUCUAUAGAGAGAGAUGUGUUUAUGCAUUAUUGCAUGUUACCCCAUUGUAUUUGUGCUUUUCUCAUCUCUUUACCUCCACCAUAUGGGUGGGGAUUGAAGAG